CCUACGGGUGGCAGCAGUGGGGAAUAUUGCACAAUGGGGGAAACCCUGAUGCAGCGACGCCGCGUGAGCGAUGAAGUAUUUCGGUAUGUAAAGCUCUAUCAGCAGGGAAGAAAAUGACGGUACCUGACUAAGAAGCCCCGGCUAACUACGUGCCAGCAGCCGCGGUAAUACGUAGGGGGCAAGCGUUAUCCGGAUUUACUGGGUGUAAAGGGAGCGUAGACGGCUGUACAAGUCUGGAGUGAAAGGCAGGGGCUUAACCCCGGGACUGCUUUGGAAACUGUGCGGCUGGAGUGCAGGAGAGGCAAGUGGAAUUCCUAGUGUAGCGGUGAAAUGCGUAGAUAUUAGGAGGAACACCAGUGGCGAAGGCGGCUUGCUGGACUGUAACUGACGUUGAGGCUCGAAAGCGUGGGGAGCAAACAGGAUUAGAUACCCCAGUAGUC
rnacentral:rRNA from 1 species